rnacentral:rRNA from 1 species
UACGAAGGGGGCUAGCGUUGCUCGGAAUUACUGGGCGUAAAGCGUGCGCAGGCGGUUCGUCGUGUCCGAUGUGAAAGCCCCGGGCUCAACCUGGGAAUGGCAUUGGAAACUGGCGGACUCGAGUGUGGCAGAGGGGGGUGGAAUUCCGCGUGUAGCAGUGAAAUGCGUAGAGAUGCGGAGGAACACCGAUGGCGAAGGCAGCCCCCUGGGCUAACACUGACGCUCAGGCACGAAAGCGUGGGGAGCAAACAGG